CCAGAGGAAUGAGUGAAGCUGCCAGCAUGAUCUAGCUUUGGGUGACCAGAACACUCGUAUGCGUGUUCAUGAAGGUUGAUCAUCGCUAGGUCAUGCUGUGCCAGCCUCACUUCUUCCCGUU
rnacentral:pre_miRNA from 1 species